rnacentral:rRNA from 1 species
AAUGAACGUUGGCGGCGUGGAUUAGGCAUGCAAGUCGAGCGAGAACCGUAGCAAUACGGGGACAGCGGCGAAAGGGACAGUAAUGUGUAGGUACCUACCCCUGGGUUCGGGAUAGCUGCGGGAAACUGCAGGUAAUACCGAAUAAUGUCUCCGGACCAAAGGUGUGAUUCCGCCUGGGGAGGGGCCUGCAUCCUAUUAGCUCGUUGGCGGGGUAACGGCCCACCAAGGCAACGAUGGGUAGCGGGUGUGAGAGCACGACCCGCGUCAUUGGGACUGAGGGACUGCCCAGGCACCUACGGGUGGCGGCAGUCGAGGAUCUUCGGCAAUGGGCGAAAGCCUGACCGAGCGACGCCGCGUGCGGGAUGAAGGCCUUCGGGUUGUAAACCGCUGUCGUUGAGGAGGAAGUGCGGGGGGGGUCUCCCCUCUGUUUGACCUAUCCAAGGAGGAAGUACGGGCUAAGUUCGUGCCAGCCGCCGCAGUAA